GCUAUGAAGUGUCCGUAAUGAGUUGGUGUAAAUGGCCGUUACCUAGUUACCGGCGUGGGCUAUUCUACGAAUGUAGUACCCUAUUGUGUGUGAGUUUUAUAUAUAGGGUCACACUAAGAGUGCACUGUUGCUAUAUUUAAGCAGUCGGCCUGAGCGGUUGGUUUGAGCGAUAUUUGUUAUACUGUCACAAGGUAGUACUAUUACUUUCCAGACUAAUAUAGGAUGAAGACUUUACUGUUCCUGGUUGUUGGAAUUUUGUUGAUAAAUUGYCUAGUGAAGUCAUGCUCUGCCUCGACCGGUCCAUGGGACCGAAAAAGACGUGUGAAAACGAAUCUAAAGAGCAAGUAUCGGUUGUCAAGAACUGAAAGCGACCUUAUCAAAAAUCUGGAGAGUUUUAUAAAACGUCGACAACAGUACAAUAAGAAAACAGGGAAGAAAAAUCACAUCAAUGUGUAUUAAUAGAUAUCAAAAUAUAUCAAUAAAUGUUGAUAUAUUACUCACUAUUUAACAUCAGUGUUUUUUGUUUUCUGUGCUGGAGUUUGCGCAARUGACAGMCCCAUUUCGUGAAGUAUUUCACUAUUUUCUGUYGAAGCAAUGAAAGACUGAUUGCUUGAAGCACGUUCUCUUCGAAAAUGAUGAAAGCACUUCAGAUUCAGAUUACUCGGACUGUUUUUAUGAUUAACUAUUUAAAAUACUUUA